ACGUAGGGGGCAAGCGUUGUCCGGAAUCAUUGGGCGUAAAGCGCGCGUAGGCGGCCCGGUAAGUCCGCUGUAAAAGUCCAGGGCUCAACCCUGGAAAGCCGGUGGAUACUGUCGGGCUAGAGUCCGGUAGAGGGCGGCGGAAUUCCCGGUGUAGCGGUGAAAUGCGUAGAUAUCGGGAGGAACAUCGAUGGCGAAAGCAACCGCCUGGGCCUGAACUGACACUGAGACACGAAAGCGUGGGGAGCAAACAGGA
rnacentral:rRNA from 1 species